AUGGCCUGGACUGUGCUUCUCCUCACCCUCCUCACUCAGGCCACAGGUUCCUGGGCCCAGUCUGCUCUGACUCAGCCUUCCUCAGUGUCUGGGGCUCUGGGACAGUCAGUCACCAUCUCCUGUGCUGGGACCAGCAAUGACAUUGGGCAGUAUAACGAUGUAUCCUGGUACCAGCAGCUCCCUGGCAAGACACCCAAGCUCCUGAUUUAUGUUGUCAGUUACCGGCCCUCAGGGAUCCCUGAUCGCUUCUCUGGCUCCAAGUCAGGCAACACGGCCACUUUGACCAUCUCUGGUCUCAAGCCUGAGGAUGAGGCUGAGUAUUACUGUAGCUCAUUCAGGAGUGGUUAUACUUACCACAGUGGUGGAUCCCUGAUCACUUCUCUGGUAAUGAUCAUCCCUGACCCUCAGUGGCUCCACCUGAGGAAGAGACUGAUCAUCACUGUCCCUCAUUUAGAAGCCUGGCACUUCCACAGUGUGCAAGUUCGGGGGAAGUGA